rnacentral:rRNA from 1 species
GAUGCUGCGGCAGCUACACAUGCAAGUCGAGCGGUAGCACAGAGAGCUUGCUCUCGGGUGACGAGCGGCGGACGGGUGAGUAAUGUCUGGGAAACUGCCUGAUGGAGGGGGAUAACUACUGGAAACGGUAGCUAAUACCGCAUAAUGUCGCAAGACCAAAGUGGGGGACCUUCGGGCCUCAUGCCAUCAGAUGUGCCCAGAUGGGAUUAGCUAGUAGGUGGGGUAACGGCUCACCUAGGCGACGAUCCCUAGCUGGUCUGAGAGGAUGACCAGCCACACUGGAACUGAGACACGGUCCAGACUCCUACGGGAGGCAGCAGUGGGGAAUAUUGCACAAUGGGCGCAAGCCUGAUGCAGCCAUGCCGCGUGUGUGAAGAAGGCCUUCGGGUUGUAAAGCACUUUCAGCGGGGAGGAAGGCGUUAAGGUUAAUAACCUUGUCGAUUGACGUUACCCGCAGAAGAAGCACCGGCUAACUCCGUGCCAGCAGCCGCGGUAAUACGGAGGGUGCAAGCGUUAAUCGGAAUUACUGGGCGUAAAGCGCACGCAGGCGGUCUGUCAAGUCGGAUGUGAAAUCCCCGGGCUCAACCUGGGAACUGCAUUCGAAACUGGCAGGCUAGAGUCUUGUAGAGGGGGGUAGAAUUCCAGGUGUAGCGGUGAAAUGCGUAGAGAUCUGGAGGAAUACCGGUGGCGAAGGCGGCCCCCUGGACAAAGACUGACGCUCAGGUGCGAAAGCGUGGGGAGCAAACAGGAUUAGAUACCCUGGUAGUCCACGCCGUAAACGAUGUCGAUUUGGAGGUUGUGCCCUUGAGGCGUGGCUUCCGGAGCUAACGCGUUAAAUCGACCGCCUGGGGAGUACGGCCGCAAGGUUAAAACUCAAAUGAAUUGACGGGGGCCCGCACAAGCGGUGGAGCAUGUGGUUUAAUUCGAUGCAACGCGAAGAACCUUACCUGGUCUUGACAUCCACAGAACUUUCCAGAGAUGGAUUGGUGCCUUCGGGAACUGUGAGACAGGUGCUGCAUGGCUGUCGUCAGCUCGUGUUGUGAAAUGUUGGGUUAAGUCCCGCAACGAGCGCAACCCUUAUCCUUUGUUGCCAGCGGUUCGGCCGGGAACUCAAAGGAGACUGCCAGUGAUAAACUGGAGGAAGGUGGGGAUGACGUCAAGUCAUCAUGGCCCUUACGACCAGGGCUACACACGUGCUACAAUGGCAUAUACAAAGAGAAGCGACCUCGCGAGAGCAAGCGGACCUCAUAAAGUAUGUCGUAGUCCGGAUUGGAGUCUGCAACUCGACUCCAUGAAGUCGGAAUCGCUAGUAAUCGUAGAUCAGAAUGCUACGGUGAAUACGUUCCCGGGCCUUGUACACACCGCCCGUCACACCAUGGGAGUGGGUUGCAAAAGAAGUAGGUAGCUUAACCUUCGGGAGGGCGCUACCACUUGAUGCUUGCC